UAUUAUUCUUGGCCUUUUGGCUAAGAUUGUCAUGUCUGUUCUUAUCUGUUUAGCACCUGAUAGGUCUUUGGUGUGAGGACUUGCUAUUAAAUAGCUCUGUGGAGCUGGGCUGUGAACUGUGGGCUUGCUGUCUUCCCACUGCACCAAAACCCCUC
ensembl:snRNA U2 U2 spliceosomal RNA